CCUACGGGGGGCUGCAGUAGGGAAUAUUGCGCAAUGGAGGAAACUCUGACGCAGCGACGCCGCGUGGGCGAUGAAGGCUUUCGGGUCGUAAAGCCCUGUCGGAAGAGAAGAAAAAUCCUGUGGCUAAUAUCCACAGGACUUGACGGUACCUUCAGAGGAAGCACCGGCUAACUACGUGCCAGCAGCCGCGGUAAUACGUAGGGUGCAAGCGUUGGUCAAGCGCAUGUAGCUGGUCACGUAAGUCGGUGGUGAAAGCCCCGGGCUCAACCUGGGAAGUGCAUCCGAAACUAGUUGACUAGAAGACAGUAGAGGAAGGUGGAAUUCCAAGUGUAGAGGUGAAAUUCGUAGAUAUUUGGAGGAAUACCGGCGGCGAAGGCGGCCUUCUGGGCUGUUCUUGACACUGAGACGCGAAAGCGUGGGUAGCAAACAGGAUUAGAUACCCCUGUAGUC
rnacentral:rRNA from 1 species